UUAGAUGAAUUUGAUGGACGUGAGGAAGUCAAAUAAAUCUGAGCACUUAGAGGAAGGAGAAGUCGUAACAAGGUUUCCGUAGGC
rnacentral:rRNA from 1 species